rnacentral:tRNA from 1 species
GCCCAGGUGGCGGAACUGGUAGACGCGCUAGGUUCAGGUCCUAGUGACCGAAAGGUUGUGAAAGUUCAAAUCUUUUCCUGGGUA